GACGAACGCUGGCGGCGUGCUUAACACAUGCAAGUCGAACGGAAAGGCCUCAGCUUGCUGGGGUACUCGGGUGGCGAACGGGUGAGUAACACGUGGGUGAUCUGCCUUGCACUCUGGGAUAAGCUUGGGAAACUGGGUCUAAUACCGGAUAUGAACUGCCUUUAGUGUGGUGGUUGGAAAGUUUUUUCGGUGCAAGAUGAGCUCGCGGCCUAUCAGCUUGUUGGUGGGGUAAUGGCCUACCAAGGCGUCGACGGGUAGCCGGCCUGAGAGGGUGUACGGCCACAUUGGGACUGAGAUACGGCCCAGACUCCUACGGGAGGCAGCAGUGGGGAAUAUUGCACAAUGGGCGGAAGCCUGAUGCAGCGACGCCGCGUGGGGGAUGACGGCCUUCGGGUUGUAAACUCCUUUCGACAGGGACGAAGCUUUUUGUGACGGUACCUGUAUAAGAAGCACCGGCUAACUACGU
rnacentral:rRNA from 1 species